CUAUGGAUCUUAAUCAAAUGCAUAGGUAAGUUUUUAGAUAUUUUUUUUAAAUUUUUUUCAUCCUUUUUUCUAUCCUUACUAAUUUUCUUUAGUUUCUUUCCUUUUAUGCUCAUCUUCUCCACCACAAUCUCCUCUGUUAUUUAAAUACUAACCGUAACUCUAAUCCCAACCCCAACCCAACCUCAUCCUAAUUCUAACUCCAACCUAAUCCAAUCCUAACUCUAACCCACU
rnacentral:lncRNA from 1 species